AAAUUGAAGAGUUUGAUCAUGGCUCAGAUUGAACGCUGGCGGCAGGCCUAACACAUGCAAGUCGAACGGUAACAGGAAACAGCUUGCUGUUUCGCUGACGAGUGGCGGACGGGUGAGUAAUGUCUGGGAAACUGCCCGAUGGAGGGGGAUAACUACUGGAAACGGUAGCUAAUACCGCAUAACGUCGCAAGACCAAAGAGGGGGACCUUCGGGCCUCUUGCCAUCGGAUGUGCCCAGAUGGGAUUAGCUAGUAGGUGGGGUAACGGCU
rnacentral:rRNA from 1 species